AAGAGGCCGCCGGGACAACGCAGUGGUCGCCUCGGAAUUCUCGACACUAAAGGUCAGUACCCUUUUUAGGAAGGCGAUGAGGUGCGAGGACAAACACUUGGCGGGACAGGAGUGUCGUAGAGACGGAAGGAUGCAGAAAGAGGAGAGGUGGCAUGGAGGAAGGAACAGACAAACCUGGUCUGGAGCGAGUCCUGCAUCCACCCUUAUUAGCCUCACUGGCAAGCGUCUUAACCCUUAGGAUCCUCAGUUUCUCUGUUUGUAAACUGAGGGUAAACAUACCUGCAAUUCUGCUGUAUUAGAGACAAUGGACGUCAAGUCCCUGGCGCAUUGAAUCCAUCUUCAGGGGUAACACAAACUUCCUAGCUUCACAGGGGCUGUUUCUAACCAAGUCUCAGAGCUCCCUACCCCAGUGACUAAAAAUGGUUCUUAAAAUGACAUCAAAUGGAACAAAGAGCCGGGCGGCUGACUCUUUGUUCUGAGGUUUUGUUCAGAACUUGACAAGCUUUCCAGAGAGCUCCCAAGAAGAUGCUCGCCCACGAAAGUUGUCAUUGGUCCAGAUGCACGGAUUCAGUCUCUUCACUUAGCAACAGUAUUUGCCUCCUGCUUCAGAAAAGGAAACAAAAAAGUAAGCCUGCAGUUAAAUACACCCACAAGGGCAAAUCCCCAUGAAAGCCUGUCAAAAAAGAGCUGUGGGAAAGAUGAGCUAUUGCUGUACGCCUGGGUGAACGCCAAUGAGGAAGCCACAAAGGGGAGGGAGGGUGUGCACGGGGCCUUGUCCGUUCCAGCCCCCCAAGGGUUUCAGCCUUUCCCUCCUCCUGAUUCCCACUGCUCCACGGCUGCCCUCAUCGUCAUUGUUCCUGGACUAUUUUAACUGCUUCCUAAUUCAUUCGCCUGUCCUGCCAUUUACAAGGCACUCUAUACUAUCACUGUCAAAUUAAACAACUGCCUUUUG